CAAGAGCGUAUGUAAAAGUUGUUGCAGUUAAAAAGCUCGUAGUUGAACCUUGGAUUUGGUUGGCCGGUCCGCUUUUUUGCGAGUACUGGAUUCAACCGAGCCUUUCCUUCUGGCUAACCAGUCGUUUCGGCGGCUGGCGAACCAGGAUUUUUACUUUGAGAAAAUUAGAGUGUUCAAAGCAGGCAUUAGCUUGAAUAUAUUAGCAUGGAAUAAUAGAAUAGGACGUUAUGGUUCUAUUUUGUUGGUUUCUAGGACCAUCGUAAUGAUUAAUAGGGACGGUCGGGGGCAUCAGUAUUCAGUUGUCAGAGGUGAAAUUCUUGGAUUUACUGAAGACUAACUACUGCGAAAGCAUUUGCCAAGGACGUUUUCAUUAA
rnacentral:rRNA from 1 species